rnacentral:rRNA from 1 species
UACGGAGGAUCCUAGCGUUGUCCGGAUUUAUUGGGUUUAAAGGGUGCGUAGGCGGACUACUAAGUCAGGGGUGAAAGCCGGCAGCUUAACUGUCGAAUUGCCUUUGAAACUGGUAGUCUUGAAUAUAGUUGAGGUGGGCGGAAUGUGACAUGUAGCGGUGAAAUGCUUAGAUAUGUUACAGAACACCGAUUGCGAAGGCAGCUCACUAAGCUAUCAUUGACGCUGAGGCACGAAAGCGUGGGGAUCAAACAGG